rnacentral:lncRNA from 1 species
CUUAUUUUAUAUGUAAAAAUAAAUUUUAUUUAUUUAUUUAUUUAUUUGAGACCGAGUUUCACUCUUGUUACCCAGGCUGGAGUGCAAUGGCAUGAUCUUAGCUCACCGCAACCUCCGCCUCCUGGGUUCAAGCAAUUCUCCUGCCUCAGCCUCCUGAGUAGCUGGGAUUACAGGCACGCGCCACCAUGCCCAGCUAAUUUUUUGUGCUUUUAGUAGAGACGGAGUUUCACCAUGUUGAGCAGGAUGGUCUCGAUCUCUUGACCUUGUGAUCCACCUGCCUUGGCCUCCCAAAGUGCUGGGAUUACAGGCGUGAGCCACCGCGCCCAGCCCAAAAAUAAAUUUUUAAUCUAUAUAUUACUCUGCCUCUAUGGAUCUGCCUGGCACAGCCCACUCAGCUGCUUUCACAGGCUGACAUUGAGUGUCUACGGCUUUUCCAAGUCUGUUCCAGACUCAGAACAGAGCGACUCAGACUUGGAACACAGCGACUCAGAAUCAGGACACAGUGACUCAGACUCGGGACACAGCGACUCAGACUCGGAAGGCGAUCAUACUAAGGGUUCAAUCCAAGCAAUGAACAAAGGAGAAGCCAGGCCCUGAUGGGAAAAGAAUCUAGAACGCUGCAGUUCUACUUACAAUUGCUUAUAAUCUCCCGAAGGGGAUCAUAGCCAUUUGCUCAGGUAACCAUGUAUUGUGGAAAGAUUUUUCUAGAUUUUCUAAAGGGUUGUUGGGCACAGGGUAAUAACUGAUUAUGAAACUCGGGACACAAAGCACCAGGAUU